rnacentral:misc_RNA from 1 species
GAAAUGCGAUAAGUAAUGUGAAUUGCAGAAUUCAGUUAAUCAUCGAAUCUUUGAACGCACAUUGCGCCCGUUAGCAUUCUAGCGGGCAUGCCUGUCCGAGCGUCAUUUCAACCCUCAGGGUCCCCGUUUCGGCGGGGAACCUGGUGUUGGGGAUCGGCCCGCCCCGCGCGGCGCCGUCCCCCAAAUCUAGUGGCGGUCUCGCUGCAGCCUCCCCUGCGUAGUAGUUUACAACCUCGCACCGGAGCGCGGCGAGGCCACGCCGUAAAACCCCCGACUUUCUGAACGUUGACCUCGGAUCAGGUAGGAAUACCCGCUGAACUUAAGC